GACGAACGCUGGCGGCGUGCUUAACACAUGCAAGUCGAACGGAAAGGCCUGCUUUCCCUUGUGGAUUGCGGGUACUCGAGUGGCGAACGGGUGAGUAACACGUGAGUGAUCUGCCCCCAACUUGGGUAUAAGCCUGGGAAACUGGGUCUAAUUCCCGAUAGGACUGCAGGGUGGUGCCUGUGGUGGAAAACGAUUUUCUAGUGGUUGGGGAUGAGCUCGCGGCCUAUCAGCUUGUUGGUGGGGUAAUGGCCUACCAAGGCGGCGACGGGUAGCCGGCCUGGGGGGGUGGACGGCCACAUUGGGACUGAGACACGGCCCAGACUCCUACGGGAGGAAGCAGUGGGGAAUAUUGCACAAUGGGCGGAAGCCUGAUGCAGCGACGCCGCGUGGGGGAUGACGGCCUUCGGGUUGUAAACUCCUUUCGACCGCGAGGAAGCCACCUGGCUGGAAGGGUGGUGACGGUAGUGGUAGAAGAAGCACCGGCUAACUACGUG
rnacentral:rRNA from 1 species